rnacentral:rRNA from 1 species
AUUGAACGCUGGCGGCAGGCCUAACACAUGCAAGUCGAGCGGAUGAAGGGAGCUUGCUCCUGGAUUCAGCGGCGGACGGGUGAGUAAUGCCUAGGAAUCUGCAUGGUAGUGGGGGAUAACGUCCGGAAACGGGCGCUAAUACCGCAUACGUCCUGUGGGAGCAAGUGGGGGAUCUUCGGACCGCACGCUAUCAGAUGAGCCUAGGUCGGAUUAGCUAGUUGGUGGGGUAAAGGCCUACCAAGGCGACGAUCCGUAACUGGUCUGAGAGGAUGAUCAGUCACACGGGAACUGAGACACGGUCGCGACUCCGACGCGAGGAAGCAGUGGAGAAUCUUGGACGAUGGGCGAAUGCCUGAUCCAGCCAUGCCGCGUGUGUGAAGAAGGUCCUCUGAUUGUAAAGCACUUUAGGUUGGGAGGAAGUGCAGUAAGUUAAUACCUGAUUGUUUUGACGUUACCAACAGAAUAAGCACCGGCUAACUUCGUG